GAUUCCGUAGUGUAGUGGUUAUCACGUGCGCCACACACGCGCAAGGUCACCGGUUCGAGCCCGGGCGGAAUCA
rnacentral:tRNA from 1 species